UACGAGGGGAGCAAGCGUUGUUCGGAUUUACUGGGCGUAAAGGGCGCGUAGGCGGUCGUGACAAGUCACUUGUGAAAUCUCCGGGCUUAACUCGGAACGGUCAAGUGAUACUGUCGGACUAGAGUACAGAAGGGGCAACUGGAAUUCUCGGUGUGGCGGUGAAAUGCGUAGAUAUCGAGAGGAACACCUGCGGCGAAGGCGGGUUGCUGGGCUGAUACUGACGCUGAUGCGCGAAAGCCAGGGGAGCGAACGGG
rnacentral:rRNA from 1 species